rnacentral:lncRNA from 1 species
CUGUCUUAGAAUUGGGGGCAUGCUGAGUCUGAGAUUUAUGGCCUUUUCCACCAUGGCUAGGCCCUGAAUGCAGCAUUGCCAUCGUUUUGUGGGCAGUGUUAUCUAGCUUCCUAACUUGAAGUGGCCGAGCUGUAAUGCAAGAAAGCAGCUGAAGAUGAAGUAAUAAAAGUAGGAGAAGAGCAGUAACAUAGAAAAACUUCAUUUUCCUAUCCAUUAAGGAGGACCUACUGCAUGUUGUUUUGGAUCAUCCAAGGAUAGUUUGUGGAGUUUGGAACUAUG